rnacentral:rRNA from 1 species
GAUUAACGCUAGCGGCAGGCAUAAUACAUGCAAGUUGAACGGCAGCACAGGUAGCAAUACUGGGUGGCGAGUGGCGCACGGGUGCGUAACACGUAUGCAACCUACCCUAUACAGGCGAAUAACCUUUAGAAAUGAGGGCUAAUACGCCGUAGUAUUACAGAUGGGCAUCUAUUUGUAAUUAAAGAUUUAUCGGUAUAGGAUGGGCAUGCGUCCCAUUAGUUAGUUGGUAAGGUAACGGCUUACCAAGACGAUGAAGGGUAGGGGAUCUGAGAGGACUUACCCCCACACUGGUACUGAGACACGGACCAGACUCCUACGGGAGGCAGCAGUAAGGAAUAUUGGGCAAUGGCCGCGAGGCUGACCCAGCCAUGCCGCGUGCAGGAAGACGGCCUUAUGGGUUGUAAACUGCCUUUAUACGGGAAUAAUAGAGUGUACGCGUACAUUUAUGCAAGUAUCGUAUGAAUAAGCAGCGGCUAACUCCGUG